rnacentral:rRNA from 1 species
GACGAACGCUGGCGGCGUGCCUAACACAUGCAAGUCGAACGGGGUGAUUCCCUUCGGGGAUCACUUAGUGGCGAACGGGUGAGUAACGCGUGAGGAACCUGCCUCUCAGUGGGGGACAACAGUUGGAAACGACUGCUAAUACCGCAUAAUGUAGCGAGAUCGCAUGAUCUUGCUACCAAAGCUUUAUGUGCUGAGAGAUGGCCUCGCGUCUGAUUAGCUAGUUGGUGGGGUAACGGCCCACCAAGGCGACGAUCAGUAGCCGGUCUGAGAGGAUGAACGGCCACAUUGGGACUGAGAUACGGCCCAGACUCCUACGGGAGGCAGCAGUGGGGAAUAUUGGGCAAUGGGGGAAACCCUGACCCAGCAACGCCGCGUGAAGGAAGAAGGCCCUCGGGUUGUAAACUUCUUUUACCAGGGACGAAGAACGUGACGGUACCUGGAGAAAAAGCCACGGCUAACUACGUG